AGCGGUGGAGUAUGUGGCUUAAUUCGAUGCAACGCGAAGAACCUUACCAGGCCUUGACAUGCAUUAGACCGUACCUGAAAGGGUACUUUCCUUCGGGACUGGUGCACAGGUGCUGCAUGGCUGUCGUCAGCUCGUGUCGUGAGAUGUUGCGUUAAGUCGCGCAACGAGCGCAACCCCUGUCCUUAGUUGCCAUCAUUAAGUUGGGCACUCUAGGGAGACAAACCCUCUUUGAGGGUGGGAAGGUGGGGAUGACGUCAAGUCAGGAUGG
rnacentral:rRNA from 1 species